GAUGAACGCUGGCGGCGUGCCUAAUACAUGCAAGUCGAGCGAACAGACGAGGAGCUUGCUCCUCUGACGUUAGCGGCGGACGGGUGAGUAACACGUGGAUAACCUACCUAUAAGACUGGGAUAACUUCGGGAAACCGGAGCUAAUACCGGAUAAUAUAUUGAACCGCAUGGUUCAAUAGUGAAAGACGGUUUUGCUGUCACUUAUAGAUGGAUCCGCGCCGCAUUAGCUAGUUGGUAAGGUAACGGCUUACCAAGGCAACGAUGCGUAGCCGACCUGAGAGGGUGAUCGGCCACACUGGAACUGAGACACGGUCCAGACUCCUACGGGAGGCAGCAGGAGGGAAUCUUCCGCAAUGGGCGAAAGCCUGACGGAGCAACGCCGCGUGAGUGAUGAAGGUCUUCGGUUCGUAAAACUCUGUUAUGAGGGAAGAACAAAUGUGUAAGUAACUAUGCACGUCUUGACGGUACCUAAUCAGAAAGCCACGGCUAACUACGU
rnacentral:rRNA from 1 species